rnacentral:rRNA from 1 species
UGGGGAAUCUUGCACAAUGGGGGAAACCCUGAUGCAGCGACGCCGCGUGAGUGACGAAGCCCUUCGGGGUGUAAAGCUCUUUCGACAGGAACGAUAAUGACGGUACCUGAAGAAGAAGCUGCGGCUCACUACGUGCCAGCAGCCGCGGUAAUACGUAGGCAGCACGCGUUGUUCGGAAUUACUUGGCGGAAAGAGUGCGUAGGUGGUUGGCUAAGUUUGGUGUGAAAUCUCCCGGCUUAACUGGGAGGGUGCGCCGAAAACUGGCUAGCUAGAGUGUGGGAGAGGGAAGUGGAAUUCCUGGUGUAGCGGUGAAAUGCGUAGAUAUCAGGAGGAACACCUGCGGUGUAGACGGCUUCCUGGACCAUUACUGACACUGAGGCACGAAAGCGUGGGGAGCAAACA